UAGGGAAUCUUCGGCAAUGGGGGCAACCCUGACCGAGCAACGCCGCGUGAGUGAAGAAGGUUUUCGGGUCGUAAAGCUCUGUUGUAAGAGAAGAACGAGUGUGAGAGUGGAAAGUUCACACUGUGACGGUAACUUACCAGAAAGGGACGGCUAACUACGUGCCAGCAGCCGCGGUAAUACGUAGGUCCCGAGCGUUAUCCGGAUUUAUUGGGCGUAAAGCAAGCGCAGGCGGUUAGAUAAGUCUGAAGUUAAAGGCUGUGGCUUAACCAUAGUACGCUUUGGAAACUGUUUAACUUGAGUGCAGAAGGGGAGAGUGGAAUUCCAUGUGUAGCGGUGAAAUGCGUAGAUAUAUGGAGGAACACCGGUGGCGAAAGCGGCUCUCUGGUCUGUAACUGACGCUGAGGCUCGAAAGCGUGGGGAGCAAACAGGAUUAGAUACCCUGGUAGUCCACGCCGUAAACGAUGAGUGCUAGGUGUUGGGUCCUUUCCGGGACUCAGUGCCGCAGCUAACGCAUUAAGCACUCCGCCUGGGGAGUACGACCGCAAGGUUG
rnacentral:rRNA from 1 species